UCUGAAUGAAGACUGAUUCUUCUGAUCUGCCAAUCAUGUGCAGGUACAUGUGGGAUGCAGUGGUUAAAGUAACUACAUGUAUGAAUAAACCAUUUCUGUUUUCAACAUUUGCUGAUCAACUUACUGCCUGCUUUAGAUUAUCACUCAUGUGUUUAGGUUGUGAUCAGGUAAACCUACUUAACAUGCUCUUUUUUGUAGUAGUACUAAUAUCUUCCUUAUUGUGCCAAAUAGUUUUCUUUCUAAUGUUGGGGAAAACUAAGGUAUAAAUUGGAUUUGUCAUAAAACUUGAGGAACCCCUGAUAAACCUAGCUGGGUAACUAAUCCUAUUUUUGACUUCCCAACUAGCACUGUUUUCACUAGAAUUAUAUAUUUUCAUGCUCAAGAAGUCAUGUGACUACCUGAAAACUCAUGAUAAUUUGCAAGUUAAAAUGGAAGCCAUUUUGUACCUUUGUUACAUUUGCAAUGAGUCCUGCUUCCAGUAAAUAUAUAUUUCUUUUAUAUACUUGAUAUCAGUGCGAUUAAAAUAAAUCAUGAGAGAUACAAAGUAGAAUUAUUUCCCUAAAGUUUUGGAGAAAAUAAUACUCUAUUCGGAGAAACAAAUGUUAUCUAAGUGAAAAUAUUAUUUAUCCCCCAAAGGAAUUUCUACCUAUUACCCACAGUUCGGUUAGAUAGACUUGCUUUUCAUAUUUAAGUUUUUUCCCCGAAAAUAUUUAUCUUUUAUUCAAGUGAAAAAAAAAUUCUUAAACUGGAUUACUGGAGUUCCUAUCAUGGCUCAGCAGUUAACAAACCCAACUAGGAUGCAUGAGGACAUGGGUUCAAUCCCUGUCCUUACUCAGUGGGUUAAGGAUCCAGCGUUGCUGAGAGCUGUAGCAUAGGUCACAGACACAGCUCAGAUCCAGCAUUGCUGUGGCUGCAGUAUAGGCCGGCAGCUACAGCUCUGAUUCGACCCCUAGCCUGGGAACCUCCAUAUACCACAGGUAUGGCCCUAAAAAGACAAAACAAAAAGCAAAAACCGUUAUUACUGAGAUAUUUUCUACUAAUGGGAAAGUAAACGAAAUGAAAAAAAAAUAUAUAAUAUAUAUAUAUAUACACACUCACAUAUAUAUACAUAUAUACAUAUACACAAACACAUCAGAUUUAAUAAUGUGGUGAUGUGUAUUUCAAGAAAUAACAUUCUUCUCACAUUCUCAUUCUCACUAGAGGGGUAAAGAUUUUUAGAAAAUACUUAAGCUUGAACUGUGAUAUUCACUCUAGAAAUUAACGCUAAAAUGUUUAGUGAUGCACUUGUAUUAAUUUAAAAACAUAACUUGUUUCUCAUUACAUAGUAUUUGUUUUCAAACAUUUAAAAACUCUAAUAAAGAUUCUAACCCAAUUGUAAUCAGCUACCAUCAAUAUGCAGCGGCUGGUUUGCAUUUUCCACUUUGCAUUGAGAGGCAGUCCUUAAAGCACUGCCGACCAAGCUGUACUUGAAAAUAGUUGAGAUUUGCUUGUGCUUAGAUCUCUUCUAUUCCUCCUCAACUUUCGAGACGUGCUUUCAUUUGAUAAGGAUGCUUUGGAAUCUGAAUUUUAACGUGUCAUUGUGUGCAUUUAGGCGUGCAAGUAUACACAUGUAUAUUAUUUUGCUUUUACAGUAAUUAUUUUCACUUAUAAAAUUCCAAAUUCAAUGUUAAAUAUUGAAUAUUUUGGUUAAGUGACAGCUUGCGCUAGCUUUAGGAUAUUCCUGCUUGAUAAUUAUUCAUGAGAAGAACAGCUGAAAACAAACUAGUUAUACACCUUGGCAAAUUACUGUGAUUGUAAUUCUGUGAAAUUUCCCCAUGGCCAUGUGACUUUAUUAUAAGUACUCUAACAGUGCAGAUGUCCAGAAUGUUGUCGUUGUCACAAAUGCUUUUUCUAUAUUCAAAGUUUUUGAAUUACUCUUUACUGCUUCAGAGAAAACGUGAGGAAGGAGAUGAGACAUGCAGUAUGUAUGAUAGAGCAUAUGCAGCUCUUUUUGGCGCCCGCCCUCCCUUGAAGUGAGCAUGGUGCUCAUAUAUUGCAUUCCUAUAAAAUACAGAAGUAGUGGCUUUUUUGUGUGUGAAAUCUAGAUAUGAUGAAAAUGUAGUCUAAUAAAUGUUAAGAAAAAGGAAAAAUAGCCCCAAUUCAUCAUCCUUCAAAAAAUUCAGCCGAAAAUCAAAUAUUAUUUCCCUACUCUCUCCUCCCUUUCAGUCCCUUCCCCAUAUGGUUCCUGAAAUGUUCCUCCAUUUAAAUGGAUUUUAAAUCUCAUUCCUUAUAGUUCCUAGAGCAUUCAUUGCUUUU
ensembl:lncRNA